rnacentral:rRNA from 2 species
GAGUUUGAUCAUGGCUCAGAUUGAACGCUGGCGGCAGGCCUAACACAUGCAAGUCGAGCGGUAGCACAGAGAGCUUGCUCUCGGGUGACGAGCGGCGGACGGGUGAGUAAUGUCUGGGAAACUGCCUGAUGGAGGGGGAUAACUACUGGAAACGGUAGCUAAUACCGCAUAAUGUCGCAAGACCAAAGUGGGGGACCUUCGGGCCUCAUGCCAUCAGAUGUGCCCAGAUGGGAUUAGCUAGUAGGUGGGGUAACGGCUCACCUAGGCGACGAUCCCUAGCUGGUCUGAGAGGAUGACCAGCCACACUGGAACUGAGACACGGUCCAGACUCCUACGGGAGGCAGCAGUGGGGAAUAUUGCACAAUGGGCGCAAGCCUGAUGCAGCCAUGCCGCGUGUGUGAAGAAGGCCUUCGGGUUGUAAAGCACUUUCAGCGGGGAGGAAGGCGUUAAGGUUAAUAACCUUGGCGAUUGACGUUACCCGCAGAAGAAGCACCGGCUAACUCCGUGCCAGCAGCCGCGGUAAUACGGAGGGUGCAAGCGUUAAUCGGAAUUACUGGGCGUAAAGCGCACGCAGGCGGUCUGUCAAGUCGGAUGUGAAAUCCCCGGGCUCAACCUGGGAACUGCAUUCGAAACUGGCAGGCUAGAGUCUUGUAGAGGGGGGUAGAAUUCCAGGUGUAGCGGUGAAAUGCGUAGAGAUCUGGAGGAAUACCGGUGGCGAAGGCGGCCCCCUGGACAAAGACUGACGCUCAGGUGCGAAAGCGUGGGGAGCAAACAGGAUUAGAUACCCUGGUAGUCCACGCCGUAAACGAUGUCGAUUUGGAGGUUGUGCCCUUGAGGCGUGGCUUCCGGAGCUAACGCGUUAAAUCGACCGCCUGGGGAGUACGGCCGCAAGGUUAAAACUCAAAUGAAUUGACGGGGGCCCGCACAAGCGGUGGAGCAUGUGGUUUAAUUCGAUGCAACGCGAAGAACCUUACCUGGUCUUGACAUCCACAGAACUUAGCAGAGAUGCUUUGGUGCCUUCGGGAACUGUGAGACAGGUGCUGCAUGGCUGUCGUCAGCUCGUGUUGUGAAAUGUUGGGUUAAGUCCCGCAACGAGCGCAACCCUUAUCCUUUGUUGCCAGCGGUCCGGCCGGGAACUCAAAGGAGACUGCCAGUGAUAAACUGGAGGAAGGUGGGGAUGACGUCAAGUCAUCAUGGCCCUUACGACCAGGGCUACACACGUGCUACAAUGGCAUAUACAAAGAGAAGCGACCUCGCGAGAGCAAGCGGACCUCAUAAAGUAUGUCGUAGUCCGGAUUGGAGUCUGCAACUCGACUCCAUGAAGUCGGAAUCGCUAGUAAUCGUAGAUCAGAAUGCUACGGUGAAUACGUUCCCGGGCCUUGUACACACCGCCCGUCACACCAUGGGAGUGGGUUGCAAAAGAAGUAGGUAGCUUAACCUUCGGGAGGGCGCUUACCACUUUGUGAUUCAUGACUGGGGUGAAGUCGUAACAAGGUAACCGUAGGGGAACCUGCGGUUGGAUCACC